AUUACUUUACCGCCAUCUGGCCUGCAGAAAACAGGCUGCCAGAGCCCAGAGAAGGUCCUAAAGUAUCUGGUUGCCUGUGAUCAUCUUUGUGAGCUGGGCUACGAUGAAGCACAAGUGGAGGAGGCUUUGGAGAUGUUUCAGAACUGCGAGAGCAAGGCUGCAGAGUUCCUGCGUUUGCUGACUCAGUUUAAUGAGAUGGGCUUCCAGCAAAGCGCGAUCAAAGAAGUGCUGCUUGUUCAUGAAAACCACCGUGAGCGAGCGCUAGAGGAGCUGAUGACACGCAUGGCGUAGGCGGCUGAUCGUCUGUUUGACUUAGAUCUGGCUUAAAUCAUUAUUUAACUGAAGCUGCUGCAGAAAUUAAAAUGUUUGAUAUCAAAAAUCAGACUUUGUUCAAAUACGUUUCUGAUUUUUUUUUUUAUUUGCAUAUUGAUUUAAAAAAAAGAAACAUUUAAUGUAAAAAAGGACGGAGCUUUAAAUAAACAGCCACAGAAACAUAUACAGAGGGGGGGGCAUGGUGGCAAGGCUGGAAUAAAAUCCUAACAAGAGUAAAAUAACAUUUUAAAAGUUCCCUCUCAUCCUGAACACCGAACAGCCUCCAUCCGACGGACCGACUCCCUCACUGCUGGCUCACAGUGGAGUUCAGAAAUCCCGUCUUCAGGUUCGAUUUCGCAGCUUUGGAGAGAUCCCUCUGCAACCAAACAUCAACUUUAUGAAUGACAGAAAACAAGGACAAUGUUCCAAAUAUAAAGAUUCUGUUUGCUCUGCAAUUACUGCCUGAAUUAUUUUGUUUAAAUGUUUGUUUGGAUUUGACCUGCUGACCUUUGUGCCCAUUCGCCAUUUUCUACCUUUCCAGGAAGGAAAUUAAGCAGUUAGCUAAAAAAGGGUCAAUAUCUGCUUUAAAAACUGAAGAAUGAUUUUCUACAUUCUGUUUAGUCUCUGUUAAGAUUUGUGAAUUUAAUAAAGAAAUGUUCCAACAGGAAA